rnacentral:rRNA from 1 species
GCCUGACGGAGCAAGACCGCGUGGGGGAAGAAGGCUCUUGGGUUGUAAACCCCUUUUCUCUGGGAAGAACACAAUGACGGUACCAGAGGAAUCAGCAUCGGCUAACUCCGUGCCAGCAGCCGCGGUAAGACGGAGGAUGCAAGCGUUAUCCGGAAUGAUUGGGCGUAAAGCGUCCGCAGGUGGCAGUUCAAGUCUGCUGUCAAAGACCGGGGCUUAACCUCGGAAAGGCAGUGGAAACUGAACAGCUAGAGUAUGGUAGGGGCAAAGGGAAUUCCUGGUGUAGCGGUGAAAUGCGUAGAGAUCAGGAAGAACAUCGGUGGCGAAGGCGCUUUGCUGGACCAUAACUGACACUCAGGGACGAAAGCUAGGGGAGCGAAUGGGAUUAGAUACCCCAGUAGUCCUAGCCGUAAACGAUGGAUACUAGGUGUUGUCUGUAUCGACCCGGACAGUGCCGUAGCUAACGCGUUAAGUAUCCCGCCUGGGGAGUACGCACGCAAGUGUGAAACUCAAAGGAAUUGACGGGGGCCCGCACAAGCGGUGGAGUAUGUGGUUUAAUUCGAUGCAACGCGAAGAACCUUACCAGGACUUGACAUGUCGCGAAUCUUCUUGAAAGAGAAGAGUGCCUUCGGGAGC